rnacentral:rRNA from 1 species
AUUGAACGCUGGCGGCAGGCCUAACACAUGCAAGUCGAACGGUAACAGGAAGAAGCUUGCUUCUUUGCUGACGAGUGGCGGACGGGUGAGUAAUGUCUGGGAAACUGCCUGAUGGAGGGGGAUAACUACUGGAAACGGUAGCUAAUACCGCAUAACGUCGCAAAACCAAAGAGGGGGACCUUCGGGCCUCUUGCCAUCGGAUGUGCCCAGAUGGGAUUAGCUAGUAGGUGGGGUAACGGCUCACCUAGGCGACGAUCCCUAGCUGGUCUGAGAGGAUGACCAGCCACACUGGAACUGAGACACGGUCCAGACUCCUACGGGAGGCAGCAGUGGGGAAUAUUGCACAAUGGGCGCAAGCCUGAUGCAGCCAUGCCGCGUGUAUGAAGAAGGCCUUCGGGUUGUAAAGUACUUUCAGCGGGGAGGAAGGGAGUAAAGUUAAUACCUUUGCUCAUUGACGUUACCCGCAGAAGAAGCACCGGCUAACUCCGU